UUGAUCAGGCAUUAUUUUGCGGAGAAUCCCACAUACACUGAGUCGUAUUUUCGUCGUCGGUUUAGGAUGAGCACCAAGUUGUUCAGGCGCAUUGCAGAGAAACUAGUGAGCCAUGGCCGAUUUUUUCAACAAAGGAGGAAUGCCACCAGAGAGCUUGGGCAUAGCACCUUUCAGAAGGUGACAGCCGCUUUGCGUAUGUUGGCAUAUGGUGUCCCAGGUGAUCUAGUUGAUGAUCAUGUGUGUCAAGCACUUCGCAGUCGGAAUUGUGCAAGUGUUUAG
rnacentral:rRNA from 1 species